GACGAACGCUGGCGGCGUGCCUAAUACAUGCAAGUCGAACGCACUCUCGUUUAGAUUGAAGGAGCUUGCUCCUGAUUGAUAAACAUUUGAGUGAGUGGCGGACGGGUGAGUAACACGUGGGUAACCUGCCCUAAAGUGGGGGAUAACAUUUGGAAACAGAUGCUAAUACCGCAUAAAACCUAACACCGCAUGGUGUAGGGUUGAAAGAUGGUUUCGGCUAUCACUUUAGGAUGGACCCGCGGUGCAUUAGUUAGUUGGUGAGGUAAAGGCUCACCAAGACCGUGAUGCAUAGCCGACCUGAGAGGGUAAUCGGCCACACUGGGACUGAGACACGGCCCAGACUCCUACGGGAGGCAGCAGUAGGGAAUCUUCCCACAAUGGACGAAAGUCUGAUGGAGCAACGCCGCGUGAGUGAAGAAGGUUUUCGGAUCGUAAAACUCUGUUGUUGGAGAAGAAUGUAUCUGAUAGUAACUGAUCAGGUAG
rnacentral:rRNA from 1 species